rnacentral:lncRNA from 1 species
GAACUUCUCACCCUCUUUCCUGAUCCUCCGGAGUUUGCUCUCUUAAAAGUAACCUUUUAAAUCCUGGAAAAUGAUUCUGUUUUCUCAAUUGACUAUGGCUGCUCACAGAGUGUCUGUAGCUCUCUUCAGUGACUCAGCACUUUACAGAGAAAAAUUGUUCUGGAGGGAAUGUUAGGGCAGUCCACAUAGCCGCUUACAGGAAAGAAAGAGAUCAAAUCCUGCCUACAGGGAAAGCUGAAACACCAAACUUAAAUGCUAAAUGGAAACAAUAACAACAAUAACAACAACAACAACAACAACAAACGACCAACAGAUGAUGAAAACCCCGUGAAGCAAGGUAAAGAAGGGAAGAGCAGAAGUUCUCCUAGGUAUGAACAGGGCAGGUUCUGAAAAGCUGUGUGUAAAUCUCUCAGUAUCCAUGAGCAAAGAGGCCCUAAUCAGGUGAUCACACUGCUGUGGCUGUAUCCCUCUUGUUCCAGUGAUGACUCUCACCAUCUCUACUCUGGAGGACAUGGCUGCUAUCUGGCAGUGACCGCUGCCCACAAAUAUGGAUGUGGGCUCUACCAUAAUUUCCCCUUACAGAAGAACAAAGACUAAUGGAAGGAGAGUCCAACACGGAAGAUACAUUGCUUCUGCAGUUCAAGUCCAUUUUGCUGUAGGUCACCUAUGGGCCUAGCCACCUUCCUGACUUGUCAUCAGCUUUUCUCUGUGUUGUCAGGCCCAGGUCAGGACACCUGGCUCCUCACAGUCACCGAGUCUCAAACCCAGAGAAAAAAGAAAAAAUUUCUCCUCACCUCAGACUAAUUCCUACUCACUAAGUCCUCAUUUUUUGUCCCAGGAUGAAUAUCUUCCUAGUAUAAUGGACAGUGGAGAACUUCUAUCUGUUAUAGGGAAACCCAACUACUAUAUAAAAGAGUGAGACUGGCUCUGUGAUCCCAAGAAGAAAAUAACAAAGAUGAUGCUUUUUCUAUCAUGUGGGUUAGACGGCCUUACCCUUGGGCAACUUGAUGUAAUAUUGUUUUUACAAAAGAAAUAUGUAAAGUAGGUCGAAUACAAUUUUCCAUUUCCUCUUUCACUUGACAAUACAUUUUGUAUAUCAUUCCAUAUAUGUCAACUUUAUGCUUUUUAAUAGCUGCAUGCUGUUCCAUAGUUGCAUGGUUAUACUAUAGUUUGUUGAUGAACAUUUUGGUUGUUUAAACAAAUACUGCCACAAGUAUUUAUUUCAAAAUACUUUAAUAGAUGAUGUAAAUCUAGUAAGUAUCCCAACAUUUACCAUACAACACUUUUUAAGUUGUGGUUAAAUAUAUAUAUAACAUAAAAUUUAUGAUUUUAACAAUUUUAAAGUAUAGAGUUUUGAGGUAUUACGUACAUUCACAUUGUGUGCAACAAUCACUACCAUUCAUCUUCAGGACUUUUUCAUCUUCCCCAGCUGAAACUUUGUACCCUUAAAGACUAACUCUGCAUUCCCACUUCAUUGCAGCCCCUUGCAACCACUCUUCUAUUUUCUGUCUCAAAGAACUCUACUCCUCUAGGUACCUCAUAUAAGUGGAAUAAUACAGUGUUUUUCCUUUUGUGACUGCCUUAUUUCACUUAGCAUAUGAUUUCUUCAAGGUCCACUGAUGUUGUAAGCAUGUAUCAUCAUUUCCUUCCUUUUUAAGGCUGAUAAUAUUUCACUAUAUGUAUAUACCACAUUUUGUUUAUUUAUUGGUUGAUGGAACUUGGGUUGCUUUUGACUAUUGUGAAUGAUGCUGCUAUGAAUGUAGGUAUACAAAUAUCUGUUUCAAUUCAUGCUUUCAAGUUUUUGGGGUUUAUAUUCAGAAGUGAAAUUAUUGGAUCAUAUGGUGAUUCUGUUUAAUUUUUUAAGGAACUGCUACAUUGUUACCCAUAGUAGCAUUUGAGUCAUUUUUAAUAAAAUAAAAGCCAUAUAUAUUUUUUUAUUUAUUUAUAUGUAUCUGUAUUAUAUAUAUUUAUAUAUCUGUAUUUUAUAUAUAUAAAUAGCUUAUAUAUAUAUAAAUAGCCAUAUAUAAAUGGCCCUAUCCUACAGAAAUGCUUUACAUAAAGGUACAGAUAUCUGUAGGAUAGGGCUGGGAACAGUGGCUCACACUUGUAAUCCCAGCACUUUGGGAAGUCGAGGGGGAAGGAUAGUUUGAGGCCAGGUGUUCAAGACUAGCCUGGUCAACAUAAUGAGACCCGGUCUGUACAAAAAAUAAAAAGUUAGCUAGGUAUGAUGGUGUGUGCCUAUAGUUCUAGCUACUCAGGAGGCUGAAGCAGGAGGACUGCUUAAGCCCAGAAGUUCAAGGUUACAGUGAGCUAUGAUAGCACCACUGUACUCCAGCCUAGGCAACACAGUGAGACCCUUUCUCUAAAAAUAAAUAAAAUGAAACAAGAUACUAUAUAUUACUGUUUGUUUUUUGCUGUUCCAUUGGAAUACAUCUCUUUUACUGAGCUGAGAACAUGCCAUUUUAUUUAUUGUGGCUUGGUAUCACCUUUAAACAUAUAUUAAAUCUAAUCCUUCUCUCUAUAACUCUUAUUAAAAUUGUUGUUGUUCUUGGCUAUUCUCACUUGAAUAUUCUCUCAGAUAAACUUCAGAAACAUUUGUUCAAGUUUAUUAAAAUUCCAUUAGGAUGCCAUUGAAUUUACAGAUUAAUUUAGGAAAAUUGACAACUGAAAAUAUGCAGUCUUCUUAUUCAGGAACAAGACAUUUUAUGUCUUUAUUAAAGUCAUUUUAAUUUAUGGUUAUCUCUUGAUUAUUCUCAGUAGAAGACAAAUCUUAAAGUUUUUGUUGAGAACCACCUGUUCAGCUUGAUUAUCUCCUUUGUGUUUCUUAACUGCAUUUAUUCUCAUCCUCUACAUAUGAACUAUAACUCAUUAGAGUUUGGAAGCAAGAACUUUAGAAUAAAAAUAUCUAAUUAAAUUUCUACCUGAGAAAAAAGGACACAGAGCGAUAGCUGUACUCUUGGCAGCAGCUCCUCCAAAGCACACGCUUCCUCUCAUUUUAAAGACUCGCCUUGAUCCACCUUGGGGUGGGGAGAAAAUGGAGAGCAGGGAAGGCAGAGAAAGAGAAGAAAAAAUGGCAGAAUACCAGAGGAGGAAUCAUGUGGAUAAAUUCUUAGUUCUUGUAGAGUCAGAAAUUCCAUGUGUGGCCUCUUUGUUUUAUUUCCAAUGUUGUGAAUUCUUAGAAAGUGAAAUGUACUAUGACUAAACAUGAAUGAAAAGGUCCUGUAAAUUCAAAUAUAAAUGAUAUUUUGGGAGAUGCAUAGUGCUAUGUAUACUUCCUCCAGGAGUGUGAAUAACUGAGUACUGACAAUACGCUAAAAUGAAAGAAUUUAAACACUUUGAUUUUAAUUGAAUAAAAUUUGGGUUAACAAAUUUUGAGGAAAAUAAGAUGUUUUCCUAUGAAACAAUUUGUGAUGCAAUUGCAAACACCAUCACAGUGUAAUUUCAUCAUUUGUAUCUCCUUAAAGAUUGAUGAAAUUCUUUCAUACUGUACAUUAAAUUUUUAGUAAAAGGCCAAAGAUGGAAAUAAACAUAUAUUUCUAAGAGAAUGUCACAAUCACCACUAGAGGGUACAGUAAGCAACCUUUCUUCCAGAUAUUUGAGCAGAAGAAUAUUACCAAGAAAUAAAAGGCAAUACAGAAUCACAGUACUUGAAACAACCUCAAUAGGUGAUCUGAAAGAGAAAUGGCUUUCAGAAAUGGUCAACGUAUUUGACAUCUAUCCAAGGCAAAGGAUAUCAAGUGAUUUUCAAGGGCAAUGUGUGUCUUGGGUAAAAGUAAAGUGAAUUUAUCUAGGAAUAUAGAAAUGUUUCUGAAGUAAUUAAACAAAAAAAUAAGCCUUUUAUACAUACAUGGAACUCUGUAACCAUCUCCCUCAUUAAGCCUGUUGAUUAAAGCUGCUUCUAGAGUGAUUUUAUUCUAAAAAGUUGAACUUAACAAGGUCUUAGAAAACAAAAUGAUGACAUAGGAUUUUAGAACCUCAGUAAGAUCCAAGUUGGCAGUAAAAGAAAAAGACAACAUUCUCAAACCAGCAGUGACAUUGGCAGAGUCAGAUGCAGAGGGCAUGAAUUCUU